rnacentral:rRNA from 1 species
AACGAACGCUGGCGGCAUGCCUAACACAUGCAAGUCGAACGAAACCUUCGUGUCUAGGGUCGCACGGCUGCGUAACGCGUGGGAACCUGCCCUUAGGUUCGGGAUAACUCCCCGAAAGGGGUGCUGAUACCGGAUAAUGUCUUGGUACCAAAGAUUUAUCGCCUUUGGAUGGGCCCGCGUUGUAUUAGCUAGUUGGUAGUGUAACAGCCUACCAAGGCUACGAUCCAUAGCUGGUCUGAGAGGAUGAUCAGCCACACUGUGACUGAGACACGGCCCAGACUCCUACGGGAGGCAGCAGUGGGGACUAUUGGACGAUGGGCGAAAGCAUGAUCCAGCCAUGCCGCGUGAGUGAUGAAGGCGUUAGGGUUGUAAAGCUCUUUUAAAAGGGAUGAUAAUGACAGUACCGUGAGAAUAAGCUACGGCUAACUACGUG